AUCAUCUGACAAGUGUCUGUCACAUAUAUUCAGAAUAAGCAUGUGUGAGUCAUAUGAAACAUUCUCAUAUUUUUUUAGUGUUAGUUAUCUGAGAUGUAAAAUGCCGGGAAAGUGUCCUCAUAGAGAGACACUGCAUUUUUUGCACUGAAUUUGCACAGAAUUUUUAGCUGAAAUGUUAGUGUGACCGUGUAUAGGAUAAGUGGUAGUGAUUGAUGUUGAUAACAACCAAUCAGGGGCCAGUGCUGCCUAUUUUAGAGCCGGUUGGCUGUGUUAGGUGAUGUGUCACCUCCAGCCCCGCCUUUCUUGUUCCGCGUUUGUUGACAUCUGUUUCAGCCUGGUUUUUCGUUGGUUUUCCUGUUGGUUGCCAUGGAGUUAAUGACUGCCACCCAUUCAGCUCGCUUGUAGCAUAAAUGGAGAUGACUAAUUCGUAAUACAUGAGUGUACUACUCCCGGCUUGGAUUCUCCCUCUCUGUCCUGGGCGAUUAUAAAUAAAGAUCUAGCAUCUGUAACAUUACUCCGGUUGUGUUUGAAAGAUUCUGCUAUCCUGAGAUCUCUAGUGGAAAGAACUACUACUGUUUACUACUGCUGCCUGCUUCUACUAUCUGCUGCUGCUAC